rnacentral:snRNA from 1 species
GGAUGUGUGGGUGAUUUGGCUGCAGCAUCUGUCACCCCAAUGAUGGCCAGGGUUGGUUCGGCGGAUCUGGCUGGCUAGGCAGGUGUUCCUUUCCUCCCUCACUGCUCCAUGUGUGUCCGUCUCAAAGCUGCACCCUCAGUUGAAGAGGAUGACCAUUCCUGGUAGAGGAGGACAGGUCUUUGGUCAAGGGUAUAUGAGUAGCAGAGGUCCUCUGCAAGAACCUCCAAACAAGCUCUGAAAUGAUAGGGUUCCAAGUUCCCAUGCCCUGGACUCCUUUGGGAACUGUGCCCC